rnacentral:tRNA from 1 species
GGCCGGUUAGCUCAGUUGGUUAGAGCGUCGUGCUAAUAACGCGAAUGUCGUGGGUUCGAUCUCCAUACUGGCCA